rnacentral:misc_RNA from 1 species
GAUGAAGAACGUAGCGAAAUGCGAUAAGUAAUGUCAAUUGCAGAAUUCAGUGAAUCAUCGAAUCUUUGAACGCACAUUGCGCCCAUUAGUAUUCUAGUGGGCAUGCCUGUUCGAGCGUCAUUAAGUCCACUUAAGCCCUGCUUAGUGUUGGGAGACUGCUCCAGCGGUGCUACCCUGUAGCUACCCUGCAGCUCCUCAAAGACAGCGGCGGAGUUGUGGUAUCCUCUGAGCUUAGUAACUUGUUCUAGCUUUCGAGUACACCACUUCCCCUGCCGUAAAACCCUUAAUUUUUAAUGGUUGACCUCGGAUCAGGUAGGAAUACCCGCUGAACUUAAGCAUAUCAAUAAGCGGAGGA